rnacentral:lncRNA from 1 species
CCCUGACUUCAUGCACACCAGAAGAGGGCAUUUGGUCCCAUUACAGAUGGUUGUGAGCUACCUUGUGGUUGCUGAGAUAUGAACUCAGGAUCUCUAGAAGAGCAGCCUCUGAUUCCACUCCAGGGAUUCUGGCAUGGCCUCCUAGACUCUUUGGGAACCCACGCAUGUAUGCGCACCCUCACACAGAGAUGUAUACAUAUAAAUCCCCAUAAUAAAAUAAUUCAUUUUAAAAGGUUAAUAACAGAAAUGAAUGGAACAAGGAAUAGGAAAAAUAUCAGAGAAAAAUAAAAGGAUCAAAAGUGAUUUCUUUGGGCAUAAACGAAACAGACAAGCUGUUGCAUGCUUCAGUAUAUCCCUGCUCCAAGAGGCAGGCUGGCAAAGAGGCAGAAAGGACCACAGAUAUGAUUAUCAUCUCUCAUGAUCUCAGUCAACAGGUGAUUGCGGGAGCUGAUGUUGCAUGGCGUAUCUCUGCCAGGGAAGAUAAAGACAUCCUCAGCUAAUUGCAAGCAGGGUGUUGAUUUGGCCACCACAUCUCUCUGAAAAUUCAUCUU